CUUUCUCCGCCGGCGACCGGCGCACGGGUGAGUAACACGUAUGCAACCUGCCCCCGUCAGGGGGACAACCCGCCGAAAGGCGGGCUAAACCCGCGUACAUGCCACCGGGGCAUCCCGGAGGCAGGAAAGGCUUCGGCCGGACAGGGAUGGGCAUGCGGCGCAUUAGGCAGUAGGCGGGGUAACGGCCCACCUAACCGACGAUGCGUAGGGGUUCUGAGAGGAAGGUCCCCCACACUGGUACUGAGACACGGACCAGACUCCUACGGAAGGCAGCAG
rnacentral:rRNA from 1 species